UACGAAGGGGGGCUAGCGUUGCUCGGAAUGACUGGGCGUAAAGGGCGCGUAGGCGGCUCAUACGGUCAGAUGUGAAAUUCCUGGGCUUAACCUGGGGGCUGCAUUUGAUACGUGUGGGCUUGAGUGGGGAAGAGGGUCGUGGAAUUCCCAGUGUAGAGGUGAAAUUCGUAGAUAUUGGGAAGAACACCGGUGGCGAAGGCGGCGACCUGGUCCUUGACUGACGCUGAGGCGCGAAAGCGUGGGGAGCAAACAGG
rnacentral:rRNA from 1 species